rnacentral:lncRNA from 1 species
AUGGUCAACGUACCUAAAACCGGAAGAACCUUCUGUAAGAAGUGUGGCAAGCAUCAGCCUCACAAAGUGACACAGUAUAAGAAGGGUAAGGAUUCUUUGUAUGCCUAGGGAAAGUGGCACUAUGAUCGGAAGCAGAGUGGCUAUGGUGGGCAGACAAAGCCAAUUUUCUGGAAGAAGGCUAAGACCACAAAGAAGAUUGUGCUAAGGCUGGACAAUGUGUUGAGCCUAACUGCAGAUCCAAGAGGAUGCUGGCCAUUAAGAGAUGCAAGCAUUUUGAACUGGGAGGAGAUAGGAAGAGAAAGGGCCAAGUGAUCCAGUUCUAA